AUGAACGCUAGCUACAGGCUUAACACAUGCAAGUCGAGGGGCAGCAUGACCUAGCAAUAGGUUGAUGGCGACCGGCGCACGGGUGAGUAACACGUAUCCAACCUACCGGUUAUUCCGGGAUAGCCUUUCGAAAGAAAGAUUAAUACCGGAUAGUAUAACGAGAAGGCAUCUUUUUGUUAUUAAAGAAUUUCGAUAACCGAUGGGGAUGCGUUCCAUUAGUUUGUUGGCGGGGUAACGGCCCACCAAGACAUCGAUGGAUAGGGGUUCUGAGAGGAAGGUCCCCCACAUUGGAACUGAGACACGGUCCAAACUCCUACGGGAGGCAGCAGUGAGGAAUAUUGGUCAAUGGACGAGAGUCUGAACCAGCCAAGUAGCGUGAAGGAUGACUGCCCUAUGGGUUGUAAACUUCUUUUAUAUGGGAAUAAAGUGAGCCACGUGUGGCUUUUUGUAUGUACCAUACGAAUAAGGAUCGGCUAACUCCGUGCCAGCAGCCGCGGUAAUACGGAGGAUCCGAGCGUUAUCCGGAUUUAUUGGGUUUAAAGGGAGCGUAGGCGGACUACUAAGUAAGCCGUGAAAUUCUCCCGCUCAACCGUAAAAUUGCAGUUGAUACUGGUCGUCUUGAGUGCAGUAGAGGUAGGCGGAAUUCGUGGUGUAGCGGUGAAAUGCUUAGAUAUCACGAAGAACUCCGAUUGCGAAGGCAGCUUACUGGACUGUAACUGACGCUGAUGCUCGAAAGUGUGGGUAUCAAACAGGAUUAGAUACCCUGGUAGUCCACACAGUAAACGAUGAAUACUCGCUGUUUGCGAUAUACGGCAAGCGGCCAAGCGAAAGCAUUAAGUAUUCCACCUGGGGAGUACGCCGGCAACGGUGAAACUCAAAGGAAUUGACGGGGGCCCGCACAAGCGGAGGAACAUGUGGUUUAAUUCGAUGAUACGCGAGGAACCUUACCCGGGCUCAAACGCACGACGGCGGCACGUGAAAGCGUGCUUACCUACGGGACGUUGUGCGAGGUGCUGCAUGGUUGUCGUCAGCUCGUGCCGUGAGGUGUCGGCUUAAGUGCCAUAACGAGCGCAACCCUUAUCUUUAGUUACUAACAGGUCAUGCUGAGGACUCUAGAGAGACUGCCGUCGUAAGAUGUGAGGAAGGUGGGGAUGACGUCAAAUCAGCACGGCCCUUACGUCCGGGGCUACACACGUGUUACAAUGGGGGGUACAGAAGGCAGCUACACAGCGAUGUGAUGCUAGUCCCAAAAGCCUCUCUCAGUUCGGAUUGGAGUCUGCAACCCGACUCCAUGAAGCUGGAUUCGCUAGUAAUCGCGCAUCAGCCACGGCGCGGUGAAUACGUUCCCGGGCCUUGUACACACCGCCCGUCAAGCCAUGAAAGCCGGGGGUACCUGAAGUGCGUAACCGCAAGGAGCGCCCUAGGGUAAAACUGGUGAUUGGGGCU
rnacentral:rRNA from 1 species